rnacentral:lncRNA from 1 species
GCAGGACAAAAACCACCUCCAUAGAGUCCUUUUCCUAAAUAAUACAAAAGAAAAAGUUAUUUAACUAAAUAAUUCAAAUUCUAACUUAUUUACGAAUCUAAUGCAAAAAAGAUAAAACGUCAUUUUGAAUGACGUUUUAUCCAAGCCACGUCACCCACAAUUUUCACACAGACGUCGUCCAAAAAAAAAAAAUAGAAAACGCCAUUUUGAAUGACGUUUUUAAAAACACCAUUUUAAAUAAUAUUUUUAAAAACGCCAAUCAAAAUGAUGUUUUUAUUUUUUUCAAAAAAAAAGAAAAAAAAUGGAAAAGAAUGGAA